rnacentral:rRNA from 1 species
GAAGUUCCCGUUGGCUCGGGUUCACUCCCAACCCCUGUGAACAUACCUUUAUGUUGCCUCGGCGGAUCAGCCCGCGCCCCGUAAAACGGGACGGCCCGCCGCAGGAAACCCUAAACUCUGUUUUUAGUGGAACUUCUGAGUAUAAAAAACAAAUAAAUCAAAACUUUCAACAACGGAUCUCUUGGUUCUGGCAUCGAUGAAGAACGCAGCAAAAUGCGAUAAGUAAUGUGAAUUGCAGAAUUCAGUGAAUCAUCGAAUCUUUGAACGCACAUUGCGCCCGCCAGUAUUCUGGCGGGCAUGCCUGUUCGAGCGUCAUUUCAACCCUCAAGCCCAGCUUGGUGUUGGGAUCUGUGUGCAAACACAGUCCCCAAAUUGAUUGGCGGUCACGUCGAGCUUCCAUAGCGUAGUAAUUUACACAUCGUUACUGGUAAUCGUCGCGGCCACGCCGUUAAACCCCAACUUCUGAAUGUUGACCUCGGAUCAGGUAGGAAUACCCGCUGAACUUAAGCAUAUCAAAAACGGGGAAGAAAA